rnacentral:rRNA from 1 species
GUACGCUGGCGGCACGCCUAACACAUGCAAGUCGAACGAAGUAGCAAUACUUAGUGGCAGACGGGUGAGUAACAUGUAGGUAUCUGCCCUUUGGCCUGGAAUAACACGAGGAAACUUGUGCUAAUACCGGAUAAGUCUUUACGGAGAAAGCUUUAUGCACCAUUGGAUGAGCCUGCACUUGAUUAGUUUGUUGGUGGGGUAAUGGCCUACCAAGACUGUGAUCAAUAGCUGAUUUGAGAGGAUGAUCAGCCACAUUGGGACUGAGACACGGCCCAAACUCCUACGGGAGGCAGCAGUGGGGAAUCUUGCACAAUGGAGGAAACUCUGAUGCAGCGAUGCCGCGUGAGUGAAGAAGGCCCUUGGGUUGUAAAGCUCUUUCGUCGGGGAAGAAAAUGACUGUACCCGAAUAAGAAGGUCCGGCUAACUUCGUGCCAGCAGCCGCGGUAAUACGAAGGGACCUAGCGUAGUUCGGAAUUACUGGGCUUAAAGAGUUCGUAGGUGGUUGAAAAAGUUGGUGGUGAAAUCCCAGAGCUUAACUCUGGAACUGCCAUCAAAACUUUUCAGCUAGAGUAUGAUAGAGGAAAGCAGAAUUUCUAGUGUAGAGGUGAAAUUCGUAGAUAUUAGAAAGAAUACCAAUUGCGAAGGCAACUUUCUGGAUCAUUACUGACACUGAGGAACGAAAGCAUGGGUAGCGAAGAGGAUUAGAUACCCUCGUAGUCCAUGCCGUAAACGAUGUGUGCUAGACGUUGGAAACUUAGUUUUCAGUGUCGCAGCGAAAGCAUUAAGCACACCGCCUGGGGAGUACGACCGCAAGGUUAAAACUCAAAUGAAUUGACGGGGACCCGCACAAGUAGUGGAGCAUGUGGUUUAAUUCGAAGAUACGCGCAGAACCUUACCAACACUUGACAUGUUCGUCGCGACUCUGAGAGAUCAGAGUUUUCGGUUCGGCCGGACGAAACACAGGUGCUGCAUGGCUGUCGUCAGCUCGUGUCGUGAGAUGUUGGGUUAAGUCCCGCAACGAGCGCAACCCUUGCCAUUAAUUGCCAUCAUUUAGUUGGGCACUUUAAUGGGACUGCCGGUGACAAACCGGAGGAAGGUGGGGAUGACGUCAAGUCCUCAUGGCCCUUAUGGCCAGGGCUUCACACGUAAUACAAUGGACGGUACAGAGGGACGCCAACCCGCGAGGGGGAGCCAAUCCCAGAAAGCCGUUCGUAGUCCGGAUUGUUGUCUGCAACUCGACAACAUGAAGUCGGAAUCGCUAGUAAUCGCGGAUCAGAAUGUCGCGGUGAAUACGUUCCCGGGCCUUGUACACACCGCCCGUCACACCAUGGGAGUGGGUUUUACCAGAAG